AGUAUUCUACUAAAUCUCCUUAACAGUGCCUCUACUAGCUUCAGAUUCAAUUUUUCAAUCAAAUCUAAUUUUGUGUAUGUCGGUCCUUCCACCUCUCAAACUUUAUCAAAUUCAAUUUCACAGGCAUUAGCUCCUUCCCUAAGGAACUCUUUUUUUAAAAAGACUGUCCUGCUACUGACAAACAUCUUUUGCUCUGCAACGAGGUAGAAGUAGUACCCUUUAGUUUUCUUUGAGUAUCCUACAAACAAGUAUUUAUCGGACUUAGGUCCAAGCUUAUCUAUCUUUAAAUGCUUGAUAUAAGCUGGACACCCCCAG
rnacentral:lncRNA from 1 species